rnacentral:lncRNA from 1 species
UUUGUGUUUUGUGAUAGAGUGGAAUGUAUAUGUAUUUUUCUGAGUCUUUAGUCUCAACCUAGGGUCUGUUUUUAAUUAAUUAGAGAGUGUAAAGGGGAUCUACAUGUAUGCUUUUAUUUAACUAAUCAUUUGUAGGCCUUGAUUUACUUAUACUCCAAUUGAAUGGAUCAAUUUUAACCGACUAAAGUGGGUCAAUUUAUUAAAUCAGUUAUUCUU